UUCUCAAAGUCUGAUUCUUAUGUGUGGAUCUAUUCGUAGGUGUGAACUGAGAGGCAAUGGCAGGAGGUGAGAGGAGACGCAGAAGAAAGGUAUAAUUAAGCAAGCUUUUCACAUUAACAUUUGCUAAAACUUGUUUCAAGCCAGAGACCAUUCACGUAUUGGACGACCUGGUUUCUCUCGUGUGGUUUACUGCAACCAACCUGAUUCUCCUGAAGCUGCUGAUUCAAGAAAUUACUGCAUCGAAAUGACAUCUUGUCUUUCACUCCUCUCGCGCCUUAUACCGCUUUUUAGGUUGGAUUACUGAGUUCUGAAAUGGGAAUUCUUUCUAGCAACUUUAAUCAGAAAGGCGAUCAUCAAAACUCACAUACAGGUAGCCAUCGGUUCUGUAGAAUAUCCAAACCAGCUCGCAGUUAAAAGCGCCAUGAUUAAGCAGUUAUUGAAAGACUUCAAGGUGGCUCACGUUAGCAGUCUCCAGCUUAGGAGAAGAGAGGAGAACGAAAGAGCCUUGGGACAAAGAAGUAGAAGGUAAGGCUUGUAGGAAAAAGUCUCUGAGCAGAGUUUCAUCUUCCCUCCAAACCAAGGUGCGAAACCUCUCAAGUCAUUGUGUUAAACCAUG